rnacentral:lncRNA from 1 species
AUGAAGUUAAAUUUUUUUAUUUCCAAUUAUAGUUUGAAAGACCAGGUUGCAGUGGUGAAGUUGAAAGCAAUACAGUACAAAACUCUAUAUUUGAAAGACCAGGUUGCAGUGGUGAAGUUGAAAGCAAUACAGUUCAAAACUCUAUAUUUGAAAGACCAGGUUGCAGUGGUGAAGUUGAAAGCAAUACAAUACAAAACUUUACAGUUUCUUGUG